AUGUCUCGUGGUGUACUCUAUCGUGGGUAUUUUUGGCUAUGCCCGCUGGGGGUCCCAAACCCAUGGGGAUAUCCUCACCAACUAUGAUUUUGCAACCUCACCUGUCCUCAUUAAGGGUACAUUUGUGA
rnacentral:ribozyme from 1 species